AUUGAACGCUGGCGGCAGGCCUAACACAUGCAAGUCGAGCGGAUGAAGGGAGCUUGCUCCUGGAUUCCGCGGCGGACGGGUGAGUAAUGCCUAGGAAUCUGCCUGGUAGUGGGGGAUAACGUCCUGAAACGGGCGCUAAUACCGCAUACGUCCUGAGGGAGAAAGUGGGUGAGCUUCGGACCUCACGCUCUCAGAUGAGCCUAGGUCGGAUUAGCUAGUUGGUGGGGUAAAGGCCUACCAAGGCGACGAUCCGUAACUGGUCUGAGAGGAUGAUCAGUCACACUGGAACUGAGACACGGUCCAGACUCCUACGGGAGGCAGCAGUGGGGAAUAUUGGACAAUGGGCGAAAGCCUGAUCCAGCCAUGCCGCGUGUGUGAAGAAGGUCUUCGGAUUGUAAAGCACUUUAAGUGGGGAGGAAGGGCAGUAAGUUAAUACCUUGCUGUUUUGACGUUACCAACAGAAUAAGCACCGGCUAACUUCGUG
rnacentral:rRNA from 1 species